rnacentral:rRNA from 1 species
AACGCGAAGAACCUUACCUGGGCUAGAAUGUGAUUUGACCGAUCCUGAAAGGGGUCUUUGUAGCAAUACACAGAUUACAAGGUGCUGCAUGGUUGUCGUCAGCUCGUGCCGUGAGGUGUUGGGUUAAGUCCCGCAACGAGCGCAACCCCUAUCUUUAGUUGCCAGCGAGUAAUGUCGGGGACUCUAAAGAGACUGCCUGCGUAAGCAGAGAGGAAGGAGGGGAUGACGUCAAAUCAUCAUGGCCUUUAUGCCCAGGGCUACACACGUGCUACAAUGGCGUUUACAAAGGGCUGCCAACCAGCGAUGGUGAGCAAAUCCCACAAACAACGUCUCAGUUCGGAUUGAAGUCUGCAACUCGACUUCAUGAAGCUGGAAUCGCUAGUAAUCGUGGAUCAGCAACGCCACGGUGAAUACGUUCCCGGGCCUUGUA